rnacentral:rRNA from 1 species
GAUGAACGCUAGCGGCAGGCUUAAUACAUGCAAGUCGUGGGGCAGCAUGAGUGUAGCAAUACAUUUGAUGGCGACCGGCAAACGGGUGCGGAACACGUACACAACCUUCCUAUAAGUGGGGAAUAGCCCAGAGAAAUUUGGAUUAAUACCCCGUAACAUAACGAUGUGGCAUCACAUUGUUAUUAUAGCUUCGGCGCUUAUUGAUGGGUGUGCGGCUGAUUAGAUAGUUGGCGGGGUAACGGCCCACCAAGUCUACGAUCAGUAGCUGAUGUGAGAGCAUGAUCAGCCACACGGGCACUGAGACACGGGCCCGACUCCUACGGGAGGCAGCAGUAAGGAAUAUUGGUCAAUGGACGCAAGUCUGAACCAGCCAUGCCGCGUGAAGGAUUAAGGUCCUCUGGAUUGUAAACUUCUUUUAUCUGGGAUGAAAAAAGGCUUUUCUAAGUCACUUGACGGUACCAGAUGAAUAAGCACCGGCUAACUCCGUGCCAGCAGCCGCAGUAACAC